CAAUACACAGCAGAUGCUUCCAUCUGCAUCAAUUUACUCAAGGCCGAAAAAUCUAUCUUGAAAUUAUUAAAGCUUUUGUAAUUAUUUUGUUAACAAAAUAUCAUGUAUAAUAUUUUGUUAUUUCAGACCUAAAACAUGAUUAGAAGUAUGGAAAAGAAAAAUGAAAUGGUAAUAUGCGAACAAUGUGGAAAAGAACUAUUCAGAAGGAAUCUUCAACGACAUUUAAACAGAGCUCACAAUUACAGAGAUUUAGUUAAAUGUGAUUUGUGCAGUCGUGUUAUGUACAAGGAGAGCAUUGAAAAUCAUCUAGAUGUGUGCAAG